AUGGCACUGUGGUUAUUUUUCCUUCUCAUUGAAACAGCUUCCACAGGUGCUUUUUCACAGGUUCAGCUGGUGGAGUCCGGAGGGGGUGUGAAGAAACCCGGAGACUCUCUCCGCCUCUCCUGCAAAGCCUCCGGCUUCACCUUCAGCAGCUACUGGAUGCAAUGGGUCAGAGAGGCCCCUGGACAGGGACUGGAGUGGAUCGGGGAAAUACACCCAACUUCAACUACCAUCAACUACGCCCAGCCCUUCAAGGGACGCUUCACCAUCUCCAGGGACAACCCCAACAAUCUGCUGUAUCUGCAAAUGGCCGGCCUGAAGCCCGAGGACACCGCCCGCUAUUACUGUGCGAGACACGCAGUUUUUGGGACCCCUCUGGAGAGUGGAAAGGGGACUAUUUGGGUAGAUUCCUCCUCCCAGGGCCCGCUCCCAGGUGGCUCUGACCCAGUCGGGGCCAGCGCUGAAGAAGCCCGGAGAGUCCCAUGCGCUGCAAUGUGCCACCAGCGGGUUCGCUCUGAGCAGCACCUGGAUGAGCUGGGUCAGACAGGAGCCGGGAAGGGGCUGGAGUGGCUGGUUGAGUAUUAUGAUGAGUCAGAAAACCAGCACUACGCCUCUUCCAGCCAGGGCCAAUUCAGAGCCUCCAAGGACAGCACCAGCUUCUACCUGCACGUGAGCAGCCCGAGAGCGGAGGACACCGCCGUGUGUUAG